rnacentral:lncRNA from 1 species
ACACAGGUUUGCAACAGAACCAGCUGGGUUUCAACUGCCUUUGCCACAACAGGGCUGACUGGGCUCGGGAAAGUCAACUUUUUGGUCUGCACAGGGCUGCGUGAUUGAUAAAGGGAAAUGAACCACAUCCCCCAACGACUAGACGGAAGCACGCACAAGCUCCUUCCUCCCGAGGAGCGUUUCCAGUGACUUGAGCUUGGUUGGCCCAGGUCAUUUGACUAGAAGCUUUGUCUGCGUGCACUGAGUGAGGAUCCGGCCCUACUGUGUGUAUCCCUACUGCGUGCUCCUGGACCUGUUGGGUUUGACUCUUGAUUUGCUGUUUUUGGGUAUUCACUGGCUGAGGACAGUGGCUGUGUUCAGUGGCUGUAAAUAAAUGGAGCUUGAACUCA